rnacentral:lncRNA from 1 species
UGCUAGGUUGCUGUGCUGUUUCUCCUACUGUCUUGCUGCCGCACCACCCCUCAGAAAAACCGGGUCGUCAGUUUCCUGCGGUUUGCACACUCACCACAUAUAAUUAACAAUUUGCAAUUCACCCGCAGGAUUAUUCCAGCCUCUGUGAUCACACACAGAAGGAUGAGCCUUCCUCGUGAGGGUUGGAGAUGGAGGGAGAAGGGAUGGAGAGUAAGGAUGGGACGGAGGUUGUGGAGCAGAAGACCAACACGCCAGUUGGAAUUCCAAGGCACCUUAGAAACAAGACAUGCCUAGAAAAUUUGACUAUGUGUCCACAAGGCUGGAACUGAAUCAAUAAUAAUUGCUUCUUUCAAUCUGAACAUGAAACAACGUGGAUCAAUGGCUGAGAAAACUGCAGAAGUUAUGGAUCUCUGGCCAGGCUCAACUCUCAGAAUGAAAUGGGAAUCUUUGAUGCAUUAUCUGGGGCCAUCUUUAUAUUGGUUUGAACUGAGCAAGCACAAUGCAAACAAAACGUGGAUGUGGGCAGAUGGAGCUACAUUCAGCAAUUGGUAAGCC